UGCCAGCAGCCGCGGUAAUACGUAGGUCCCGAGCGUUAUCCGGAUUUAUUGGGCGUAAAGCGAGCGCAGGCGGUUAGAUAAGUCUGAAGUUAAAGGCUGUGGCUUAACCAUAGUACGCUUUGGAAACUGUUUAACUUGAGUGCAAGAGGGGAGAGUGGAAUUCCAUGUGUAGCGGUGAAAUGCGUAGAUAUAUGGAGGAACACCGGUGGCGAAAGCGGCUCUCUGGCUUGUAACUGACGCUGAGGCUCGAAAGCGUGGGGAGCAAACAGGAUUAGAUACCCUGGUAGUCCACGCCGUAAACGAUGAGUGCUAGGUGUUAGACCCUUUCCGGGGUUUAGUGCCGUAGCUAACGCAUUAAGCACUCCGCCUGGGGAGUACGACCGCAAGGUUGAAACUCAAAGGAAUUGACGGGGGCCCGCACAAG
rnacentral:rRNA from 1 species